rnacentral:rRNA from 1 species
GUCGAGAAUUUUUCACAAUGGGCGAAAGCCUGAUGGAGCGACGCCGCGUGGGGGAUGAAUGGCUUCGGCCCGUAAACCCCUGUCAUUCGGGAUCAAAUCUGGCAACCUAAUACGUUGUCAGUUGAUAGUACUGAAAGAGGAAGGGACGGCUAACUCUGUGCCAGCAGCCGCGGUAAUACAGAGGUCCCAAGCGUUGUUCGGAUUUACUGGGCGUAAAGGGAGCGUAGGUGGCAGAUUAAGUCUGGUGUGAAAGCUCUGAGCUUAACUCAGAAAUGGCAUUGGAUACUAGUUUGCUUGAGGAUUGGAGGGGAGACUGGAAUUCUCGGUGUAGCAGUGAAAUGCGUAGAUAUCGAGAGGAACACCAGUGGCGAAGGCGAGUCUCUGGACAAUUCCUGACACUGAUGCUCGAAAGCUAGGGGAGCAAACGGGAUUAGAUACCCCAGUAGUCC